rnacentral:rRNA from 1 species
UGCCAGCAGCCGCGGUAAUACGAAGGGUGCUAGCGUUGUUCGGAAUUACUGGGCGUAAAGCGCGCGUAGGCGGAUUGGAAAGUUGGGGGUGAAAUCCCAGGGCUCAACCCUGGAACUGCCUCCAAAACUACAUAGCUAGAGGAUGUGAGAGGAUAGUGGAAUUCCGAGUGUAGAGGUGAAAUUCGUAGAUAUUCGGAAGAACACCAGUGGCGAAGGCGGCUCACUGGCUCGAUACUGACGCUGAGGUGCGAAAGCGUGGGGAGCAAACAGGAUUAGAUA